rnacentral:rRNA from 1 species
GAUGAACGCUGGCGGCGUGCCUAAUACAUGCAAGUCGAGCGAACAGACGAGGAGCUUGCUCCUCUGACGUUAGCGGCGGACGGGUGAGUAACACGUGGGUAACCUACCUAUAAGACUGGGAUAACUUCGGGAAACCGGAGCUAAUACCGGAUAAUAUAUUGAACCGCAUGGUUCAAUAGUGAAAGACGGUUUUGCUGUCACUUAUAGAUGGAUCCGCGCCGCAUUAGCUAGUUGGUAAGGUAACGGCUUACCAAGGCAACGAUGCGUAGCCGACCUGAGAGGGUGAUCGGCCACACUGGAACUGAGACACGGUCCAGACUCCUACGGGAGGCAGCAGUAGGGAAUCUUCCGCAAUGGGCGAAAGCUUGACGGAGCAACGCCGCGUGAGUGAUGAAGGUCUUCGGAUCGUAAAACUCUGUUAUUAGGGAAGAACAAAUGUGUAAGUAACUAUGCACGUCUUGACGGUACCUAAUCAGAAAGCCACGGCUAACUACGUG